GCCUGGGUGGCUCAGUCGGUUAAGCGGCCGACUUCAACUCAGGCAUGAUCUCGCGGUUUGUGAGUUCGAGCCUCACGUCGGGCU
rnacentral:tRNA from 1 species